CUCCACCCGAACAAGAGCUUCCAUGCCAUGCAGAGGCACCUUCAUCCCUGUUCUCUCGGUGCUAGCCAACCAUCUGUUUCAACCUCCAUCAUCAGCAGAUUCAUCCAUGUCAAACCAGCAUCCUCCUGCCUGUGCUCCCUCCUGAUCCGGUGAUCCCCAUAGUCGCCCCCCAUCUGGUUCCGCCAUUGAGGGCACAUGCGGUGUGCCCUGUUUAGGAACUUGGGACCGGAAUUUGAUCGAUCGCUAACACAGAAAUUUCGCGGGGAUGCGCAGAGGAUAGAUGGGGAAGUUUCACAUCUGAUUCUUCUUCAUCAAGUGGUGCAGAAAGAUCUAUGAUAGGUUACUAGAUCUGGUGGCAAUUGGUUGAUCAGGUGUGGGCGUGCAGCAUGUCAAUCUGGUUCUGCAUAUAGAUGAGUUCAACUGCUUCCUCAUAGACUUGCUUUAUAAAAC